ensembl:misc_RNA
GGCCCUUUUAGCUGGGGGAAGAGGAGGUUAUCUGAAGGGAGGGAGGCAGGCUUGAAUGUGAGUCUUUGUGAAACCCAG